GACGAACGCUGGCGGCGUGCUUAACACAUGCAAGUCGAACGGAAAGGCCCUGCUUGCAGGGUACUCGAGUGGCGAACGGGUGAGUAACACGUGGGUGAUCUGCCCUGCACUUCGGGAUAAGCCUGGGAAACUGGGUCUAAUACCGGAUAGGAGCCAUUUUUAGUGUGAUGGUUGGAAAGUUUUUUCGGUGUAGGAUGAGCUCGCGGCCUAUCAGCUUGUUGGUGGGGUAAUGGCCUACCAAGGCGGCGACGGGUAGCCGGCCUGAGAGGGUGGACGGCCACAUUGGGACUGAGGUACGGCCCAGACUCCUACGGGAGGCAGAAGUGGGGAAUAUUGCACAAUGGGCGCAAGGCUGAUGCAGCGACGCCGCGGGGGGGAUGACGGCCUUCGGGUUGUAAACUCCUUUCGCUAGGGACGAAGCUUUUUGUGACGGUACCUAGAUAAGAAGCACCGGCUAACUACGUG
rnacentral:rRNA from 1 species